AAGUCGUAACAAGGUAACCGUAGGUGAACCUGCGGUUGGAUCAUUUCCGAUCUGCGCCCUGACGAAGGGCCGAUCUACAACUGUGCACGGUAAAUCGUGUUUGGCAGUCUAGGGGGAGACCAGACCCGGAUUCCCGGCGACGGCUCCCCGGACAUCUCGUCCGGACUGCCGCGUAACAACGGACCACUGUCAGUUUUGGCUGAUCGUCACUCUGUGAUAAAUCUGAAACAACUUUCGACAAUGGAUCUCUUGGCUCUC
rnacentral:misc_RNA from 1 species